rnacentral:lncRNA from 1 species
UCAGGCCUGGCACUAAGUUUUCUUCCUUCAUCACAGACGUUCUGGCAGCCCAUAAGGAAACGUGUUUAUCUUGAAAGCACCUGGCAGAGACGGCACGGAUGGAGCUGAGCUGGUGAAAAGACCCCAUUUCUCAAACCCAGCUUUCUACAUGGAAUUAUUCAAAGGGAACCCUUAUCAAGCAGCCUUCCAGCUCCGGUGCCAUCCAUCUUCUAAAGGUCACAUGGGCUGCUUUUUGCCUUUCCCUUCCGUCAGAGUUGAGUGCAAGGGUCCUGACAGAGUGCAGACCUGAGACCUGCAAUGAACGCUUCUGGAAGAUGCAUGUGCUUGAAGACAAGGUAAGGAAAUCUGUGGUCUGUCGUGAGGCCACCAACCAGCACAGGGUGAGAUGGCCCAGGCUGCUUCAUCCAGCUGUUUGCUCCAUAUAUUACAAUAAAAUAUCAUGUGAGUAUUCUUUGUCUUUCUGCCACAUCAUCAGUUCUCAUUACUUUGUCAUCUAAACAUUUUUGCAUGAAUAUCAGCUGAGUUUUGGGGCGAGUGGCUUCAAAGAAUGAAUCUGUCAAGGCUAUGAUAUAUGAUUUUAAGUCUUUUAUUGCCUGCAAUUUUUCUUUUUAUUUUAAGGGGUCUGUUUCCCCUUUUUAUAUUCCUCCAAGUAUGAGGCUAAUGUGGUUACAAUAACGAAAUUAGCUCAUCACUUACUAACUGUUAAUUUAAUUUUUAAUUGUCCAUUAAAUCAGGCACUGGGCUGUUUAUAUUUUAAUUUUUAAUGUCAGAGAGUUAAAUUGCUUUCCAAAUGAAGGUUAACAAGGGAGGGCUUUUCCUGACUCUGGAAACACGCGAAAUCAUGUGGAAUCAUAAACACGAUGCUGCUAUUAGGAAUAUGGACAAAGCCUGAAGAAUUAAGAUAAUCAUAAGUAUUUAUUGGGUACUCGCUAUGUGCUAGACUCUGUGCUAAGUGCGUUAGAUGCAUUAUCUCAUUGAUUCCAUAAAAAGUCUGCUGUAGUUCUGUUCUUACUGCCAUUUUAUAUAUGGCAAAGCUGAGGCUCAGAGAGGGCAAGACAUGAGCUUAAGGCUUCACAGCUCAUAAUUGGAUGACCCAGGAUGGAACCAAAGUCUCUCUAGCUGCACUUCUAGCACUCUGAGCUGAAACGCUACACUGCCCUGCUCAAGGAAGUAAUAGGGAAAGACAUGAGAAUAGAAAGACAGUAUAGUAUAAUGAGAAGGGUCCGGCUGUGGAGAGACACUAACAGAUUCCCCAAAAUUAAGAUUCAGAAUUCUUGGGCAGGGUGAUCUAACAGGUCCCUUUAGGCUAUUGCAUUCUCAGAUUCUGUGACAUUUCACCUGCAGCUAUGUGCUGUUAGUAGCUGAGGUUCUCAUGGCCAGAGAGCUAUUGGAGCUAUGGGCAUUUCUUCUGCCAAAAACACAGACAGGUCAGAGUGAUGCCCCCUCUUGGGUCCAUUCUGUUUUCUUUGUAAACAAGAAAGAAUAGCAGAACAUGGCAUCUUGUGUCUUAACUAUUUGGACAAACAGCGUUCUGUAAUUGUGUGUGUGUGCUCGCGCACACAUAUGCAUGUAUGUGUGUGAAUGUAU